CGAGAAAAGUUCUUCGGAGCUUUUCUAGCGGCGGACGGGUGAGUAACACGUGGGCAACCUGCCUCAUAGAGGGGAAUAGCCUUCCGAAAGGAAGAUUAAUACCGCAUAAUAUUGUUGAAAGGCAUCUUUUAACAAUCAAAGGAGCAAUCCGCUAUGAGAUGGGCCCGCGGCGCAUUAGCUAGUUGGUGAGGUAACGGCUCACCAAGGCGACGAUGCGUAGCCGACCUGAGAGGGUGAUCGGCCACAUUGGAACUGAGACACGGUCCAGACUCC
rnacentral:rRNA from 1 species